rnacentral:rRNA from 1 species
AGUGAACGCUGGCGGUAGGCCUAACACAUGCCAGUCGAACGGCAGCACAGUAAGAGCUUGCUCUUACGGGUGGCGAGUGGCGGACGGGUGAGGAAUACAUCGGAAUCUACUUUUUCGUGGGGGAUAACGUAGGGAAACUUACGCUAAUACCGCAUACGACCUACGGGUGAAGGCAGUGGAUCUUCGGACCUUGCGCGAUUGAAUGAGCCGAUGUCGGAUUAGCUAGUUGGCGGGGUGAAGGCCCACCAAGGCGACGAUCCGUAGCUGGUCUGAGAGGAGGAUCAGCCACACUGGAACUGAGACACGGUCCAGACUCCUACGGGAGGCAGCAGUGGGGAAUAUUGGACAAUGGGCGCAAGCCUGAUCCAGCCAUACCGCGUGGGUGAAGAAGGCCUUCGGGUUGUAAAGCCCUUUUGUUGGGAAAGAAAAGCAGCAGGUUAAUACCCCGCUGUUCUGACGGUACCCAAAGAAUAAGCACCGGCUAACUUCGUG